UCAUAUGGAUUCCUACGGGAGGCAGCAGUCGGGAAUUUUGCUCAAUGGGGGAAACCCUGAAGCAGCAACGCCGCGUGCGGGAUGAAGGCCUUCGGGUUGUAAACCGCUUUUACCAGGGACGAUAAUGACGGUACCUGAUGAAUAAGUCACGGCUAACUACGUGCCAGCAGCCGCGGUAAUACGUAGGUGACAAGCGUUGUCCGGAUUUACUGGGCGUAAAGAGCGCGCAGGCGGUCGUUCAAGUCGAGUGUGAAAGCCCCCGGCUCAACUGGGGAGGGUCAUUCGAUACUGAUCGACUCGAAGGCAGGAGAGGGAAGCGGAAUUCCCGGUGUAGUGGUGAAAUGCGUAGAUAUCGGGAGGAACACCAGUGGCGAAGGCGGCUUCCUGGCCUGUUCUUGACGCUGAGGCGCGAAAGCUAGGGGAGCAAACGGGAUUAGAUACCCCGGUAGUCCUAGCCGUAAACGAUGGACACUAGGUGUUGGUGGUAUCAACCCCACCAGUGCCGAAGCUAACGCAUUAAGUGUCCCGCCUGGGGAGUACGGCCGCAAGGCUAAAACUCAAAGGAAUUGACGGGGCCCCGCACAAGCAGCGGAGCGUGGGGUUUAAUUCGAUGCAACGCGAAGAACCUUACCAAGGCUUGACAUGACCAGGAAUCCGGCGGAAACGUCGGCGUCCCGCAAGGGACCUGGCCACAGGUGUUGCAUGGCUGUCGUCAGCUCGUGUCGUGAGAUGUUGGGUUAAGUCCCGCAACGAGCGCAACCCCUAUCGUGUGUUGUAUCACUCACACGAGACUGCCGAGAGAAACUCGGAGGAAGGCGGGGAUGACGUCAAGUCAGCAUGGCCCUUACGUCUUGGGCUACACCCACGCUACAAUGGCCGGUACAACGGGCGGCGAAACCGCGAGGUGGAGCAAAUCCCUUAAAGCCGGUCUCAGUUCGGAUUGUAGGCUGCAACUCGCCUACAUGAAGCCGGAGUUGCUAGUAACCGCCGGUCAGCAUACGGCGGUGAAUAUGUUCCCGGGCCUUGUACACACCGCCAU
rnacentral:rRNA from 1 species